rnacentral:sRNA from 1 species
CAUAUCGGGGAUCGCCGUCCGUCAGCGCGUUGCGCCCACGGGCGCGCAACCG